GUGCUCGAUUCGGCAGCACAUAUACUAAAAUUGGAAUGAUACAAAGAAGAUUAGCAUGGCUACUGCGCAAUGAGAAAUUAAAUCCUGAUAUUUGCUCCAACAUG